GCUGGGCAUGGUGGCGCACGCCUGUAGUCCCAGCUACUUGGGAGGCUGAGGCAGGAGAAUCGCCUGAGCUCAGGAGUUUGAAGCUGCAAUGAGACAUGAUUAUGCCACUGCACUCCAGCCUGGUGACAGAGUGAGAGUCCGUCUCAGAAAAAAAAAAAAAAAAAAAAGAGACAGGAUUUUGCUGUGUUGCCCAGGCUGGAGUGCAGUAUCACAAUCAUAUCUCAUUGCAGCUUCAAACUCCUGAGCUCAGGCGAUCCUCCU
rnacentral:SRP_RNA from 1 species